GACGAACGCUGGCGGCGCGCUUAACACAUGCAAGUCGAGCGAAGCGGCGGACGGGUGAGUCACACGUGAGUAAACUGCCUUAGACAUUGGGAUAGCCUCGGGAAACCGGGAUUAAUACCAACUGGUCUAAGAUGGAUUCGCGUCCCAUUAGCUAGUUGGUGGGUAACGGCCCACCAAGGCGACGAUGGGUAGCCGGCCUGAGAAGGGGAACGGUCACAUUGGAACUGGGAAACGGUCCAAACUCUACGGGUGGCAGCAGUGGGGAAUAUUGCACAAUGGAGGGAAGUCUGAUGCAGCGACGCCGCAUGAACGAAGAAGGCUUUCGAGUCGUAAAGUGCUUUUAUAUGGGAAGCGGUACCAUAAGAAAAAGCCCCGGCUAACUACGUGCCAGCAGCCGCGGUAAUUC
rnacentral:rRNA from 1 species